AUGACCCUGGUGGCGCGGGUUCUCAGUGCUGCGGCGAGCUCGCAGACCAUCCGGCAGACUCCAGUGGCCUACAGCGGCUCUCCAGGAGACACCGUGACACUGAGAUGCACUCUGUCGGGCAGCGGUGCCUUUAGUAUGUUCUGGUACCGGCAGCGGGCGGGAGAGCAGCUUCGGAACCUGUUUUAUUCCGUGAGCCCGGGUUCGGUCACACCGCAGGAGGCUGUCGAUGGAUUCACCGCCGUGCGACCCGAGGAAACGCUGUUCCUCCUGAACCUCUCCGAGCUGCAAGUCAGUCACUCGGCCUUGCUUCUCUGCGCCUGGAGUACUCACAGCGGCGCCGACAGAUCCAGGAGCGCUACAAAAACCCAUCAGAAGCGAGAGUCAGGGGAGCGGAAGCCAGCUGGAGGGCUGUAA